GAUGAACGCUGGCGGCGUGCCUAAUACAUGCAAGUCGAGCGAACAGACGAGGAGCUUGCUCCUCUGACGUUAGCGGCGGACGGGUGAGUAACACGUGGAUAACCUACCUAUAAGACUGGGAUAACUUCGGGAAACCGGAGCUAAUACCGGAUAAUAUAUUGAACCGCAUGGUUCAAUAGUGAAAGACGGUUUUGCUGUCACUUAUAGAUGGAUCCGCGCCGCAUUAGCUAGUUGGUAAGGUAACGGCUUACCAAGGCAACGAUGCGUAGCCGACCUGAGAGGGGGAUCGGCCACACUGGAACUGAGACACGGUCCAGACUCCUACGGGAGGCAGCAGUAGGGAAUCUUCCGCAAGGGGCGAAAGCCUGACGGAGCAACGCCGCGUGAGUGAUGAAGGUCUUCGGAUCGUAAAACUCUGUUAUUAGGGAAGAACAAAUGUGUAAGUAACUAUGCACGUCUGGACGGUACCUAAUCAGAAAGCCACGGCUAACUACGU
rnacentral:rRNA from 1 species